AAGCUCGUCAAGAUAUUCCUAAAAGUUGCUUCAAUAUAACUCUUCUUAUCAUAGUCCAAGUUGGCAACAAUUUUAAUCCGAAAGUUAAAAAAUUAGAGCAGAAAGUUCACGUUAUAAAUCUUGGUAAAACUGUUAAGUUUUCUAUUUUGGUUCAAUUGGCAGGUAAACAAAACAAUAGUUGUGUAUGGUAAUAUUCGCUGUUUACAAACACUGACGUCAAGAUCAUUUGUUAUUCAAAUACACCGACUGUUAAAAGAAGUGCUUUAUUGAUCUCACGAAAAGCACUAGACACGCAAAAAGUGGCCUUAUCUCCACUAGCCGAAUACAGUUCAUUUAUCGUUUUACAGCUUUGCUGCGUUUAUCAUGAUUUAUGUGUAAUAAUUUGUUAACGGGAUUCCUAGUUAUGUUCAUUGAGCCAUUAUUUCAUCCUGACAACUCAUUUAAGGUACAAUUCUCAGCUUGAUUGCAUCACUGUACAAAACUGUAUCCACAUAAGAUACAGUGGAUUUUCUAUAUUUACAUUUUCAGGUGGUCCGUUCCACGAUGGGAUGACCAUAUAAUCUAUUGCAAAAUAAUUCCAGAACCCAGCUCUGUUUCACAAAAAUAAAUAAACACACAAACUCCUGAGCAGGAAAAAAAAGCCCCUCUCUUCUCUUCAUUUAUAAAAUUGAAGUAUUGAUGCCUCUUAUUGUUGAUAGUCCUCGCUGCGUUCACCAGAGGAAUUAUAGAAACUAAAGUGUCUUAACCUUUUCGCUUCUCUGUCUCUUUCAGUAAGUAACAAAGUCAUAAGUUAUUCCGGUAGUGAUAACGGGAAACUAAACUUUGAGACCUAAUUACAAUAGAUUCUCUCUUCACGCUGUUAUCGUGAAAAGGCGUACUUUUCUUUGUUUCAAAAACCAGAAAAAAAAGUUGCAAGGGUCUGUUAAGCUAUAACUCGAAGAUGUUUAGAUGAUUUCAUGGUAAAAUUAGUCAAAUUGAAAAUAUGACCUUGGUUUUGUUGUUGUUGCUGUUAUUGUUCUCCUUCUUUUUCCUUCUUAUGUCUCUUUUUUGUGUCUUGGUUUAAAUAAAUCUCGAGUUCCUUUCACAUUCGUAGAAUAGAUAGGAAAGCUCGGCCAUACGAGUAACUUGCAACCCAUGAUUCUUUCGUGUGGAUUCUAAUGAACUGCACAUGGAAUAAAAUUAAUCCUCUAACGUUUAAAUACGUCUGCGCAAUGAAACUCUUGGUGCAGUCAUAGUACAGUUUUUGUGAUUAGAAAACUAGAGCAAGACUUGAGGCCUAAGGAAACCAAUCCGCCUAGUGUCAAUCAGCAGUAGACCACUCGUCAUGUGCUCUACGCGAUGCAGAUUAUGUCGGUUACACGGAACGACACCUUCUUCAAUGUGUCAUUGAACACGAGAAUUCGAGCAACGUCUCACUACAGUGCACGAGUCAGUCAUUCAGUUGGUAAUGCAGUCGGUCAGUCAGUCACGCAGUCUGGGAACUCAGUCAUCACGCAGAUAGUGUUGCUGUCAGGAAACAGAACGACUCAUCGACACAAGCUUGAAAACACGAGAUCGUUAUUGUUAGAAAAACCUUCCUUCGAAAUUGAUCAUUCAGCAGAUACAACUGUAGACCAGGUGCAAAGGUGGUAAACUCUAUUUAUUUCCAGGAGUUUGAAACUUAAACACAUGCACAUGAUUUUACGUUUGAAACGACUCAAUUAGACCGAAAAA